CUGGCAAGUAGCUAAUGUUGUUCCACUAUUCAAGAAGGGAACCAAGGAUAAUGCUUGAAACUAUAGACUGGUAGACUGAUUGGCUGUCCAUACAAACUACAGAUUCAAAAAUACUGACAAUUGCUCAAUGUGUAUGCAUCAUAUUGAAACCUCAAAAUGCAAAGUGCAGUUUUACCAGUAUACUUCAUCUUUGGCAAGGAUGUGGCAAUUUAAGUGAGUUACAUACACAAGAUAUCUGCAGGAACUCAGUAAUUCUGG